rnacentral:rRNA from 1 species
AACGCUGGCGGCGUGCCUAACACAUGCAAGUCGAGCGGUAACAGGUGUAGCAAUACAUGCUGACGAGCGGCGAACGGGUGAGUAAUGUUUCGGAAUCUGCCCAAUGGUGGGGAAUAACCAGCCGAAAGGUUGGCUAAUACCGCAUAAGUCCUACGGGAGAAAGCGGGGGAUCGCAAGACCUCGCGCCGAUGGAUGAGCCGAAACCGGAUUAGCUAGUUGGUAGGGUAACGGCCUACCAAGGCGACGAUCCGUAGCUGGUCUGAGAGGACGACCAGCCACACUGGGACUGAGACACGGCCCAGACUCCUACGGGAGGCAGCAGUGGGGAAUAUUGGACAAUGGGGGAAACCCUGAUCCAGCGACGCCGCGUGUGUGAAGAAGGCCUGCGGGUUGUAAAGCACUUUUAGUGGGGAUGAAAAGCUCAGGGCUAAUACCGCUGAGUCUUGACCUAACCCAAAGAAAAAGCACCGGCUAACUCUGUGCCAGCAGCCGCGGUAAUACAGAGGGUGCAAGCGUNAAUCGGAA